AAUAAGCGCAGCUAUGAGUCUUCGUGUCCAACUUUGAUCGUCUGUCUUAUUUGAAAAAAAAUAUGAUUAGUAUUUUUAUUGUUAUUAGAUUAUAAAACAUGUAUAGUAUUUUAUAUGUGACUUCUUUUUUUAGUUUUUUUUUAAAUCAAAUAAGACGGACGAUUAAAGUUGAACACGGAAACUCAUGGCUGCGCUUAUU
rfam:Oryza meridionalis cultivar OR44 (W2112) chromosome 2, whole genome shotgun sequence.